rnacentral:rRNA from 1 species
AGGGGACCGGAGUAGAACAACAGGGAUUGCCUCAGUAACGGCGAGUGAAGCGGCAACAGCUCAAAUUUGAAAUCUGGCCGUUUACGGUCCGAGUUGUAAUUUGUAGAGGAUGUUUUGGGUACCGCCCCGGUUUAAAUUUCUUGGAACAGAAUGUCAAAGAGGGUGAGAGUCCCGUCUUGGACCGCGGUAGGGCCUGUGUAAAACUCCUUCGACGAGUCGACUUGUUUGGGAAUGCAGGUCAAAAUGGGUGGUAAAUUUCAUCUAAAGCUAAAUAUUGGCCAGAGACCGAUAGCGCACAAGUAGAGUGAUCGAAAGAUGAAAAGCACUUUGAAAAGAGAGUUAAACAGUAUGUGAAAUUGUUGAAAGGGAAGCGCUGGCAACCAGACUCGUGCGCGGGGUUCCCCCUUGCUUCUGCUUGGGUCACUUCCCCGUGUCCGGGCCAUCAUCAGUUUCGGGGGCCGGUUAAAGGCCUUGGGAAUGUAUCCACGCCUUCGGGGGUGGACUUAUAGCCCAGGGUGUCAUGCGGCCACCCGGGACUGAGGAACGCGCUUCGGCGAGGAUGAUGGCGUAAUGGUUGUCAGCGGCCCGUCUUGAAACACGGACC